AUUGAACGCUGGCGGCAGGCCUAACACAUGCAAGUCGAGCGGAGCGGCGGACGGGUGAGUAAUACCUAGGCAUCUGCCUGGUAGUGGGGGAUACCGUUCGGAACCGGACGCUAAUACCGCAUACUCUCAGAUGAGCCUAGGUCGGAUUAGCUAGUUGGUGAGGUAAUGGCUCACCAAGGCUACGAUCCGAAACUGGUCUGAGAGGAUGAUCAGUCACACUGGAACGGAGACACGGUCCAGACUCAUACGGGAGGCAGCAGUGGGGAAUAUUAGACAAUGGGCGAAAGCCUGAUCGAGCCAUGCCGCGUGUAUGAAGAAGGCAUUCGGGUUGUAAAGUACUGUCAGCGGGGAGGAGGUACCCGCAGAAGAAGCACCGACUAACUCCGUGCCAGCAGCCGCGGUAAUAC
rnacentral:rRNA from 1 species